rnacentral:misc_RNA from 1 species
CUAAAAGUUUCUAGUUCUUGCCCAAGAACUACCUUUUCUUCGUCAGCAACUUCCAAACCGUGAUUAAGAUCUAAUAUCAUCUGCUCUGUAGAUUUCAGUUGCUGCGUCCUGCUGGAAAGUUCCUCUCUAAGAGUUUCUAUUUCUUGCCCCAGCCUUGUUUUCUCAUCCUGCAAUUGAUCAGCCAAGGUUCUCAAGUCUUCAAUGGUCUUCUCUAUCUCU